rnacentral:rRNA from 1 species
AGGGCACCACCAGGAGUGGAGCCUGCGGCUUAAUUUGACUCAACACGGGGAAACUUACCCGGCCUGGACACUGGAAGGAUUGACAGAUUGAGAGCUCUUUCUUGAUUCAGUGGGUGGUGGUGCAUGGCCGUUCUUAGUUGGUGGAGCGAUUUGUCUGGUUAAUUCCGAUAACGAACGAGACUCUAGCCUAUUAAAUAGGCUCUCGGCUUUUAAACGCCGGGAGGACUUCUUAGAGGGACAGGUGGCGGUUCAGCCGCACGAAAGAGAGCAAUAACAGGUCUGUGAUGCCCUUUGUUGUCCGGGGCCGCACGCGCGUUACACUGAAGAGAUCAGCGUGCUUUACGUUCCUGCUCCGACCGGAGUGGGGAACCCAGUGAACCUUCUUCGUGAUUGGGAUAGAAGAUUGUAAUUAUUCUUCUUGAACGAGGAAUUCCCAGUAAAUGCGAGUCAUAAGCUCGCGUUGAUUACGUCCCUGCCCUUUGUACACACCGCCCGUCGCUACUACCGAUUGAACGAAUU